rnacentral:rRNA from 1 species
UACGAAGGGGGCUAGCGUUGCUCGGAAUUACUGGGCGUAAAGGGCGCGUAGGCGGAUCGUUAAGUCAGAGGUGAAAGCCCAGGGCUCAACCCUGGAAUUGCCUUUGAUACUGGCGAUCUUGAGUACGGGAGAGGUGUGUGGAACUCCGAGUGUAGAGGUGAAAUUCGUAGAUAUUCGGAAGAACACCAGUGGCGAAGGCGACACACUGGCCCGAUACUGACGCUGAGGCACGAAAGCGUGGGGAGCAAACAGG